rnacentral:lncRNA from 1 species
CUCCACUGAACAGAACAGGAUACUGUGCUCGAGAAGCUAUUUGGACUACACCAGACAUGAGGACUAGAUAGGAGAAAUCCAGGAUAUAAAGAAAAGUCCGCAUUUAUUCAAAGGCUCUACAACUGCAGAAAACUAAUACAGCCCAAAACCUCAAGGCUUGUCUCUGCCUGAUCUGAGUCCCCUUUGGGGGCUUCCAGAAGCCAUGGACCUUGCCACCAGGAAUGAGGGGCCCUUGGAAUACCAG